rnacentral:rRNA from 1 species
UACGUAGGGUGCAAGCGUUGUCCGGAAUUAUUGGGCGUAAAGAGCUCGUAGGCGGUUUCGUAAGUCGGAUGUGAAAACUCCAGCUCAACUUGGAGACGCCAUUCGAUACUGCGAUGACUUGAGUCCGGUAGGGGAGUGUGGAAUUCCUGGUGUAGCGGUGAAAUGCGCAGAUAUCAGGAGGAACACCGGCGGCGAAGGCGGCACUCUGGGCCGGUACUGACGCUGAGGAGCGAAAGCGUGGGUAGCAAACAGG